GUUUUUUCCCCCCUUUUUAAAUUUGGACCUUGAGUCUGUAAUAAAGAUUGAAUUGAAUUGAAUAUCCCUCCACACCACUGGACGUCCAGAGAGGCGGAGCUGGCCCUCAUGGACUCUGCAAAGCACUUGGGGACAUGGGUGUGGAUUGUGAAGAGAUAUCCAUCGGAUAUAAAGGUAAACAGUGUUUGUGUGGAUGGAAAUGUAUCCAAGAGUCACACCUCCAAGCCUUCGGGUUUUGAAAACCCAGUCUGUGAACAGCUUCCACUGUUUAAGACGCCAUGUUCAAAGCUUUCCUUCAGCUCCCUGUUCCUCACCGAUGAAGACUUUGAUGACACGCUUUAAGAAUAUUUUAAACGUUUUCUUUCAAGGACGUUUAAUGAACAAAGUUGUAUGAUGUUACAAUGUUCUCUUCAAUAAAUAUAAAAAUGCAUUGGUAGAUAAACUGUUGCACAUUU